rnacentral:misc_RNA from 1 species
GCAAACUUGGUCAUUUAGAGGAAGUAAAAGUCGUAACAAGGUCUCCGUUGGUGAACCAGCGGAGGGAUCAUUAUCGAGUUUACAACUCCCUAACCCACUGUGAACCUACCUAUCGUUGCUUCGGCGGGACCGCCCCGGCGCCGACUCUCAGGCCCGGAACCAGGCGCCCGCCGGGGGCCAUCAAACCUCUGUUUUUUUACGUUUGCAUCUCUGAUUACGCAAAAACAAUGAAUCAAAACUUUCAACAACGGAUCUCUUGGCUCUGGCAUCGAUGAAGAACGCAGC